rnacentral:rRNA from 1 species
AACGAACGCUGGCGGCAUGCCUAACACAUGCAAGUCGAACGAGACCUUCGGGUCUAGUGGCGCACGGGUGCGUAACGCGUGGGAAUCGGCCCUUCGGUUGGGAAUAACUGAGAGAAAUUUCAGCUAAUACCUUAUAAUGUCUUCGGACCAAAGAUUUAUCGCCGAGGGAUGAGCCCGCGUAGGAUUAGGUAGUUGGUGGGGUAAUGGCCUACCAAGCCGACGAUCCUUAGCUGGUCUGAGAGGAUGAUCAGCCACACUGGGACUGAGACACGGCCCAGACUCCUACGGGAGGCAGCAGUGGGGAAUAUUGGACAAUGGGCGAAAGCCUGAUCCAGCAAUGCCGCGUGAGUGAUGAAGGCCUUAGGGUUGUAAAGCUCUUUUACCCGGGAUGAUAAUGACAGUACCGGGAGAAUAAGCUCCGGCUAACUCCGUG